rnacentral:miRNA from 1 species
UAGAAAAACAAAAAACCGGCUGCCAGCUUAUAACUAGUGUGGACCAGGGAAAUCUGACUGUUUAAUUAAAGCAAAGCAUCGCGGCGGGUGUUGACGUGAUGUGAUUUCAGC